UACGUAGGUCCCGAGCGUUGUCCGGAUUUAUUGGGCGUAAAGCGAGCGCAGGUGGUUUAUUAAGUCUGGUGUAAAAGGCAGUGGCUCAACCAUUGUAUGCAUUGGAAACUGGUAGACUUGAGUGCAGGAGAGGAGAGUGGAAUUCCAUGUGUAGCGGUGAAAUGCGUAGAUAUAUGGAGGAACACCGGUGGCGAAAGCGGCUCUCUGGCCUGUAACUGACACUGAGGCUCGAAAGCGUGGGGAGCAAACGGG
rnacentral:rRNA from 1 species